UAGAGUUUGAUCAUGGCUCAGGACACCGCUGGCGGUAUGCCUUAGACAUGCAAGUCGAAGAGGUUCCGGGCUUGCUCGGAAACUAGUGGCGAACGGCUGAGUAACGCGUAGGUGACCUACCCCGUAGUGUGGAAUAACUGCCCGAAAGGGUAGCUAAUACCGCAUGUUGAGCCGACAUCAAUGUCGUCUCCAAAGCAGAAAUGCGCUAUGGGCGGGGCCUGCGUUCGAUUAGCUAGUUGGUGGGGUAAUGGCUCACCAAGGCGACGAUCGAUAGGUGGUCUGAGAGGACGAUCACCCAGACUGGGACUGAGACACGGCCCAGACUCCUACGGGAGGCAGCAGUCGGGAAUUUUGCGUUUUGGGGGUAACCCUGACGCAGCAAUACCGCGUGUGGGAUGAAGGCCUUCGGGUCGUAAACCACUUUUUUCGGGGACGAUAAUGACGGUACCCGAAGAAUAAGCCACGGCUAACUACGUGCCAGCAGCCGCGGUAAUACGUAGGUGGCAAGCGUUGUCCGGAUUUACUGGGCGUAAAGCGCGCGCAGGCGGUGAAUGAAGUCGAAAGUGAAAGCCCCGGGCUCAACUCGGGAACUGCUUUCGAAACCAGUUCACUUGAAGGCGGAAGAGGGAAGUGGAAUUCCGAGUGUAGUGUGGAAUGCGUAGAUAUUCGGAAGAACACCAGAGGCGAAGCGACUUCCUGGUUCGAUCUGACGCUGAGGCGCGAAAGCUAGGGGAGCAAACGGGAUUAGAUACUCCGGUAGUCCUAGCUUUAAACGAUG
rnacentral:rRNA from 1 species